ensembl:rRNA 5S_rRNA 5S ribosomal RNA
CUCUAUAGCCAUACCACCCUGAACCCCACCCCAUCUCAGCUAAUCUGACAGAAAGCAGGGUCAGGCCUAAUCAGUAGUUGCUGGGAGGCCUCCUUGGAAUACUGGCUGUCGUCAGUA